UUCGAAGCAACGCGAAGAACCUUACCAGGUCUUGACAUCCUCUGACAACCCUAGAGAUAGGGCGUUCCCCUUCGGGGGACAGAGUGACAGGUGGUGCAUGGUUGUCGUCAGCUCGUGUCGUGAGAUGUUGGGUUAAGUCCCGCAACGAGCGCAACCCUUGAUCUUAGUUGCCAGCAUUCAGUUGGGCACUCUAAGGUGACUGCCGGUGACAAACCGGAGGAAGGUGGGGAUGACGUCAAAUCAUCAUGCCCCUUAUGACCUGGGCUACACACGUGCUACAAUGGAUGGUACAAAGGGCUGCGAGACCGCGAGGUUAAGCGAAUCCCAUAAAACCAUUCUCAGUUCGGAUUGCAGGCUGCAACUCGCCUGCAUGAAGCUGGAAUCGCUAGUAAUCGCGGAUCAGCAUGCCGCGGUGAAUACGUUCCCGGGCCUUGUACACACCGCCCGUCACACCACGAGAGUUUGUAACACCCGAAGUCGGUGGGGUAACCGUAAGGAGCCAGCCGCCUAAGGUGGGA
rnacentral:rRNA from 1 species